CUGGGGGGAGUGGCCACAGAGCCAAACCAUAUAAACAGACACACAGGGCCUCCAUCUUGUUCAGCCCUCUUUCCUGGAAGCUGACAACAAUGGUUGGCACCUUUUAGUGACGAAUGCUUCAACCUUCCUGACUCCCACAGUGGCGUGAUCCCGAAUGGACUUUCUCAGUUAGAAUCGACAGUUAUAUCCUACAACUGGAUGCAUUUUUUCAUUAAAUACUUUUUUGUCAUCCUUAUUUUGCAAUAA